CGUUGUGGGUUGGAUUGUGCUCAACUCCCACUUUCCCUCUUCUCAUUCUACUUCACACGCUAUCUCUUGUUCAUCCCAAUGCAUCCCCGAUCUACAACCAGCGUGCCACCCCUCCGUCUCCAGCCGGCCACUUCCUUCGCCAACGACAUUACAUUCACCAUCACCGCCAUCAGUAAAGCCCUCAAGCUUCUUCAAAGUUGUCGACACAACAUACCUUCUCCCUCCCACCCACCGUCAGUCUGACCUGCAAUCCACCACCUCUUAACCAAGUAAAAUUGCUCCCCUUUCUCUCUGGGAUCGACGACCAACAUCGCCUUGUCCUCUUGCCGCCACCAUCACCGUCAAAGUCGCUGCUGCAAUCGGUGAACCUUAUCAUUGGAUCAGAUUGCAUCUUUUUCUCCAAGUUGUGGUACUGCCGGUAGCGGAUGAUAGAGCUCGGGGUGAUCGCAUGACACACACCAUAGAUUAGUCAGCCUGGGAAUGUUUUACUCUGAUAACGAACAUGUGUUUUGGAAACUAUUACUCUGAUUAUGUUUUGAAUCGAUGAUUUUGCUUAAAGUGAUGUUUUAUUAAAAGAAAUUUUUAGUCUUGAAUUUUGGGACGUUACAGUUUUUAUUAUCAUUUAGCAUCAUAUUUUGUACAUUUGCAUGUUAUUGAUUUAAAUAAUGUUCAACUCAUGUCUUUCGUUAGAAUUCUCGUACUACUCAUGUUUUUAUGUCAAUUUCAGAUAGUUCGAGUGGAGCAGUGCUUUGCGAGCAGUUGGAUGCGUGUUUGGAGCUUAAAGUGGAGCUAGGGACUUAUGGAGUAUGUCGAGGAAUGCUUGCAAGAUGCUUUGGUCAAGAAACAUUCGAUUGAAUUUGAUCACACGAAGAUAGAAUCUGCAAUCUAAAGUUCAAGGAGGUUGAUGGUAGCUUUGACCACCUGUCAGUAUUUUGACCAUCUCUCGAGAACCAUAACUCUGAUUGACGCGAUUCAAAAUGAUCUGGAAAGUAGACAAAAUUUAGAACGUCUUAGGCAUAACAUGCAAUCACAUGUUUCCUUUAUGCAAUCGCAAGCAGCGUUUAUGCGAUCACAGGUUAGGUCGCAACAUGGAUUCGAGGUUUUUUAGUGCCAAAAAUUCAUUUGGAAGUGAAAAAUGAAAACCCGCGAUCACAGGUUGUGUACAUGCGAUCGCAGGUUGGCCAAAAGGUGCCAAAAUAGAAUCCUACUUCAUUAAAAAGGCACAAGACGCGUUUUCUUCAAUAUCUGUGAUCGCAGGUUGUCUACACACGAUCACAUGCAUGUCGUUUUUGCUGCGGGACGUAUAAAUAGACCCCAAUAGCAUUCCUGUAACCUAAGUUGGCGAUUCCGUAGGUACCAGACGAAGAAACUACGGUUUUGGAGGUGUUUCUUCUCCGAUUUCAACGAUUUCUGAAGAUCUGAAGACUGUGGAUCAUCUCCUUCAAGUAGAUUAGUAAGAUUAGUUGUUUGAUGUCUCCUUUCAGUUGUUUUAAUCACAUUUUAGCCAUGUCUGGCUAAAACCCUAGUUUUCAGUUCUGCAAAGACAAGUACUUUUCAUGUGGUCGAUCAUUAGAUCUGGUUUUUGUUUUAUGUUUCUAUCUAGAUUCUUCAGUUUUGUUCUUAAUGAAUGUUUGAUUUUGAUUCUUGUUA